UAUGUAAUUCUGCAACCUUCGUAUCAUGGUUGUGAAUAUUUCUUCUGAAAUAGGACAUUGAGAUAUAGGUGUAAGGUGAGGGAUUGCAAAUUGUUAAUUAAUAUUUCUUGUCUGCUAGCAUAGUGUUUGUCCUUGUCAAAUACCUACCUGAGUUAAGCUGUAUAUAAAACUAAAUCAAAUGCCUUUGAUCUCAGCUCACCCAAAAUGCCCUCAGAUGGAAGAAAAAAUUUUGCAGAAAUAACUAUGCACUUUUGAGGUGAUGCUGCUCAGCUGUGUAGAGGGACUGGCAAUGGCUCCAGCUGCAGGACUGACAUGUCACCCUCCACAGCCCACCACUCCAGCCUCCUUCCCUUUCCAGUUUCACCCACAGCACCAGCCCUUUCUUUCCCUCCUUGUAAAGUUGUUGCCUGUGACCUUUUAUUAGCCAUUUAGCUCCGCUCAGCUGUACAGCAUGAAGAAUGCAUAUUUUUCCUUCUGCUUAGUGUUGGUUUUAUCAGUAAAAUUUGGCUGUUGCUUGGUGUUCAAAGGGGUGAAGAGAUGAUGGGAGGGGGUGUAGCCCAGGCCAGCUGUGUGUAUACUGACUGCUCAUUUAAGUAAAGGUAAGAAAGGCAGCCUGGCUGCAAAAAGUAAAAUAUUACAGGCUAUAUCACAAGGUUUGCAUGUGAACAUGUGUACAAAAUGCUUCUUUCACAGGAUUCUGUAAACUUUGUCCUUUAGUGGCUGAUUCAAUCCUCUGUAAUGACAAAGUUGCCCCACUAUGAACUUGCCUGACUUUUCUUUCUUUUCAAAGAAUAGUAACAACAGAAACUAAAACAAAAGGCAGAAGAAAAUAUACUCCAGAGUGUGUUAAAAGAAUCUUUCUUGGAAAAUGAAAAGCCAUGGUACCACUGGGAUCGGCCAUUCUUGGAAAAUCAAAGCUGUUGUACCACUGGGAUCGGCCCUUCAAAACCUCUGAAAUUUUGCCACAGCCUCCACAUCUGCUACAGAAAUUCAUUUGAUACAGCGUUGCAUUCCCUUUAUGGUUAAUUCACACUUAUCCGGUGGGUGACCUCUGCGGCUCACAGACAGACAGGGCAGUAAGUGUGAAGUCACCUGAAUCCUGGAGCAGGAGAGCUAUGUUUGUUUCAUCUGGAUUCCCUAGUUCAGAGAGGUGCCAUAUGAAGCAUCAGCUUUUUAUCUCUCCCUGCCUGAUCUGAUCUUGUUGGUUGCUGUAAAAUAAGUGCUGCCCUGUUUAAGUUUUUGGUUGGUACUCUAUUCAUAGCCCUGGGUAAUGGAAACCUAAGUAAACCACAGACACCAGGCACCCGUGGAAACACCUGGUGAUAAUCCUUAUCGCAUUGCUGCUAUGCUUCCUAAUUUACUGCUUGUCUCAGAGACAUUAUUUCUCUGCUCUGUGCAAAUCUCCUUCAAUAAGUAUAUCUUCUUAUUUCUAGACAUUUGUUUACAAGGUAUGCAUGUAUUAAUGAAUACAAAUUGCUUCCUAAAUUGUUAACUACCUUAGGACACUUCGUAAUCUGAUGGAGUCCAGACUGUCUUUGAUAAGCGUACAGAUUCCUAGAAACUUGCUGGUCCAUGUUUUAAUAAUGAAUAUCAUCAUGUGACUUGACAAACAUCUACUUUUUGAAUAAAAUUAUUCUACCUUACAUAUAUAGAUUCAGGAGACCCCAGUGAUACCAUGGCUUUUCAUUUUCCAAGAAGGAUUCUUCUAACACGGUCACUGUUCCUGCUACAUGACACAAUCCCAGGAACACUCCUAGAAACCUAGGGAAUUGGAAGUUAUUCAAUCAACAUAUCAGUUUAUUGCUAAAGCAGUAUCAUAUUGCAGUGGAGAGAAUAUGAAAACCAAUAUACCAAUAGACCACAGUCUUUUAAUAACUACUGAGUGUUUUAAAACACAACAAUGUGCAAAGUCUUUGUGCAAAUUGAGUGCCAGGUUUCACUUUUGGACAUUGGAUGUUACUAUUUUGAUAGAUUUUAAAAGAUUCGGUCCAGUAAAUACAAAACUGACAUAUGUGCACCAGAACAGCAAAUUCUAAAAAUGCACAUGUUGCACAAAGAGCCCAGAAUAUUUAUUCUUCAAGUAUACUGUGUUUUGUAUGUUGACUGAUAGCUAUAUAGUUAGGAAUACUCAAAGAAUUACUUUGUAAUUACACUCUCACAGGAUGUCCUUUUGUUUUUCAGAGGAAUAUUCCCCAGUGUUUCUCUUUUCAUUCAGAUGCCUUGAGCACGAUCACAGGAAGAUAUAAUUUCCCCCUUACAUACAGGAAUAUGUAUCAUCAUAAGAUCCAUGCCAUGCUUUUACACUAACAAUUGUUCAGUAAUUUAUUUCUCUCUUGUUUCUCUCUUUCCAGUGGAAAUACGUGAUCCAAACCUGAGCAAACUGACUGCAGACAUUUUUGUUUACCUUAUAGGCUUUGAUUCAGAAUCUCUGAUACAAGAGAAUCCACCGUGCAGGAUGGGGGUGUAAUUCCAUCAAGGACUUCUGGUGACCUCAUAAACCAUGAGAGCUGGCAUGGACUUUAAUGGGCACCACGUGCUCAAGUUGCCAUGCAUCAUUUUGAAAAUGUAGGGCUUCAUUUGAUACUGCAGAAGGAUACCAGACCUACCAUGUCAAAUUGUUUCUCUUUCUUCUAAAGGAGCCACCCGCUUUAAGUUACAGUCAGUCCUCUUUGGUAGCAAAUGAAAUAUGCCAUUCUGGAAAAUUAUUAUUUUCUCUGGCAAAAUGAACUUGAAAAGUGUGUUUCAUAGAAAAGCACAUAUUUGGGUUAUAUUCUUUUAAAUAAACUUUCUAAAAUGAUGGCCAUAAAUUCAAGUAAAGGUGCGGUUUGUGCAGGAUUGGCUUUGCUUGCAGAUUUCUAAGUAAGAGACAUUUAAAAAAAUUAAUUCAUACAUCAGUUAGAAAAUAUAGGAAUAGAAUUGUUAUGAGUCAGUUGAAAAAAUGUAGACCAUGUUAAACCCAGUUUAAGUUUAAGUCAAGCUAGGUAAGUUUGCUCAAAUUGCUGAUGGCAAAUGACCUAAGUUAAAAUUUACUUGACCUAAAGUAAUUUAACUGUAUUUAGUACACCAAUUCUAGGAUUCUGUUGUUAGGAAUUUCCAGGGAGUUUCAAUCAGUGAAAUUUGUUCUAUCACCUUCGUACAAUGCUUGGAGAUUUUCUCCCACCUUCUCUCAACCUAGAUUUUGCCUGCUGAAACCUAUGUUCAGCCACUGUGCAAGCCUAUACAAAGUUGAUGGUUAUCAGCCUAAAAUGAGGUCUGUCAGUGUGGCUAUGAUUCAAGUAAAUGUGGCAAUAGACGCAUGACCUAAGUGUGUCAGCUUAGCUAAUCUAUUGUAUAUGCCAUCUGUCUUUAACAAGGAGAUGCUCUAAAAAUUGCUCAUCAUGAUGAUACCAGGAAAGGCUCUGUCCUUCUUAAUUCCGAGAUCACAGAGAAGAAGAAUAUAAAUGUUCUAGAAGAAUAUAUGCUGAGGAUAGCUUUCAGCUGCUGCGCUCUUAACUUAAGCCAAGUGCCUUGGAAGUGCAGUGAUUGUUCAGGAGCAACGAGGGACCUGCAGCACCUCCUCUGGGUACAGCAGAGGCAACUUCACCUGGCAUACUGGGAAUAGUUGGGCGGCUUUGACUUUCCCCCUCCAGCAUAUGUAGUUCCUGCAUCACUUUCGUCUGUGAAACAGAGUCAAGUACCAGCACGGCUACAAUCCAAAGAGCACAAGAUACUUCCAGGAGAAAUGAGUGAUACGUAUAAUGCUUUGUUCAAACAUCUGUACCAUUGUUGAUUUUAAUACAUUCUUGUCUUUAUGCCUAAAGAAUCAUGCCAGCAUGAAGUCCUUUUACUGAAUAAAGAAGCAUGCUACUCUGUUAGAGGAAAAUGCUAAUCCAAUCUGUCUAAUUUACAGCUUGGUUUAAUGGUCAGAUCACUACUGGAGAUCGUAAUAACAUGGAACCAUUCAGUAGAUUGGCCAGGAUUUGAAUGCUUACACUUAAACUCACUGAAUGGCAGGAUGUGAUUAGAAUUGGGUGCUAAGGAAAAUAUUCUCAAAGAUACAAGGAGACACACUGGCUUAUUUGAAAGGCACUGGAGAGCAGAAGUCCACGGACUCAUUCCCUUGGUUUGCCCUUUCCCAGCAUUUUAUCUUUAUUGAUAGCUGGGGAAUAAUGCAGAUGUAUGGUCUUUUGCUCUCAUCUGAUGAACCUCAUCUUGAUAAAUCUUUAAAUUAAGAGAUAGGAAUGUGCAGUGUCACUUUGCUAAAAGAUGGAAUGUAUAAAUUCAACACUUCACAGAUGAGGAAAGGGUUUCCCUUAGGCUUCCUGUACUUUGGGAGUGAUAUAAAUAUUGAACUAUAAAUAAAAUAUAAUGUUUCCUCUCACAGUAUGGAUUUUUAAGAAGAUGGCCUUGGUGCUGUGCCUUAUGAGGAGUUCAGUCUUGUGCCAGAUUAUGUUUAAGAAAGUAAUGCUAAGUUGAAGUGGCUUGGUAAGCUGUAAGUAAAGAGAUUCUGCAUGGCUCAGUCAUGUUAAGAUUUUGGUGUUCUACAUCAACAAAACUUCAGAAGUCUAAGGAUCUUUCAUGUUGAAGUUAUUAGUACCUUAGCUCUUCUGAAACCCUACUCCAUCAUCAUAGGCUACAUUCAAAAAAAGAUAGCGAAUUUCUUACAUGGAACUGAGCCAUGUGAAACCUAGAGAUUUUCUCUUCCUUAUUGCCAUCUAUCUCAAAUUGCCUAAGUUCAGCUGCCCUCUCACUAUAGACUUUAAUUUUUCCCUGUCCAAUAUUCUUGUUGUCUCUAUUGCUGCAUCUGCCUAUCUCUGAGGAAGUGGUCACUCAUCUUCUUCCAAAGCUUAAUCAGAAGUAUUAAACAAUAAAUUCUUUUUUGAUCUUGAUAGAGCUCAAGAAGCAUUUGCACGAUGGUCUCAGACACAUGGUGUGACUCUUAGGUGCGUUGUGUGCACAGUUAAGAGUUUGACUCAAUGAUCCUUCUGGGUUCCUUCAAACUCAUCAUAUUCUGUGAUUCUGUGAUCUCUUCCAAAAGGCUCAGUGUGGCAGGCAAGCAUGUAGGAAACUAUAACUUAGAGAGUAGUACUGUGGGGCAGCAUCCACAUACUAUAUUCACCUCACUUGAAGUGAUUUAUUGCCACCCACCACAUUAUGGAGUCAUCUGGAUGGAAAUACCUUUGUCUUGUCCUUGUUUUUCUCUUUUGAGCACAGUGAAAGCAGUUGUAAGCAAUGUUGUAAGCCUCACUAGAAUAAGGCUGUCAUUUGUCACACUUUUCCUCAUUAUAACUUCUUUUUCUACUGAAAAUACUGUGCAGAGCAACCCAGAAAUCCAAGAUGUGCAUUUUGCUUGUGCAUAUCAAAUCUUGCCCAUAUGCACAAAUUGUGUGCAAAUACCAUAAGUUUGAAGCUUCUUAGAGGCACGCUGCGACAGACAUACAUGUUUCUUGCAUGGAAAAGACAAGGCAGCAGCUUUAGGAACAUGUGAUAAAUGUGUGAACAUAUACAAAUGUAUUUGUCUAGAUUAAGCAAUGUUAUGUUCCAGGCUCAUGAUCUCACAUGCCUGAAGAUGUGAGUGACAUCAAAUCUCCAGAGAGAGAGAUAAAGGGCUUCUGUCAGCCUCUUGUUCCUUGGCCACUACUGGGUGAGCUCUACACACUGGAUCUUUUUGUCCCUUUCUAAAGCAUCCAGCUCUACACUCUUCUAGCCCUAGAUGGCCACCUGCAUUUUCAGAGUCAGAGAAUAAGGGAGAGCUGUAGCCUCUGGAGAGGAGUGGAACUAAGGAGUGGGUCUAAAAGACUGAGAAGAGUGUUGAGAGGAAUUGCCCAAGACACUCCUGUAGAACACUAACCACUGGAGAAGAGGGAUGGUCCACUGGGUGAUGAAAGGUCCAGACUGAGAGCUGGGAAAUCUACAGCAGCCAAAGGUAGUUCUUGAAAGUUUGGCUGCUUGCCUGUCUGCCUGAGGUUUAAGCCCCAGACCUGUCAAAUUCUGCAUACAGCUCUGUGCUGUUUUGUGAGUUGGGACUUGGAGUUUUGACUCAAUGCCAAGGCCUGUAUGCUCCUUACCUACUGAAAUAUUUGGGGUAUUGUCAGGCAUUAUAAACUUUUUCUUGAGGUGCAUUCAUACAGAGGUUUUCUUGCAUUCCAUACAAAAAUAUAAUUUUAAGAGGUGUUGUGAAAAAGAUCACUGGCUGAAAAUUUAAUUUCCUGCCCAAAUGGAUGACGCCUGCAAGGUAAAAUAAAUGCAUUUAAAGAAAUCGCCUAUCUAAAUCAGUCUCUUUCAAAAAGAGUUUACCUCUGUCAAUAAGGCAGAAUCUUGUGAAUUUACACACUUCAUAAUUUGCACAUAAAGUUGGCAGUUUUUCCCCACUUUUUUAGCAAUGAUUUAGUAGCUGUAGCAAGGGCUCAGAUUACUUGGAUUAUAUUAUAUUACACAAUAUACUGCAGCAUAUCUACAGAAGAACCUUAUUAAUCUGUAUUAAUAUGAACCUGCCCACUGUAGUUAACUGGGGUUUUUUGAGUAUUUUUGUUUGUUUGUUUUUUUGUUUUGUGGUUUUGUUUGGUUUUGUUUUUUUAAUGGCAGAGCAAGGAGAAUGUUUCAAUCCAGCAUCCUGAACAAGUAGUGACAUGGUGUGAUGGUGGAAGUGUGUAAGAUGGGAAGGGACCAGAUAUAAGAAAUCUUCCUUGUAGAUCCAGAUGAGGUCAUUUUCCUCCAUGCUAAUGGAUUAGGAGUCAGAGCAGUGUUCUGCUCCUGAUUAAGGAAUUGAUUUUACUGUUCCACUAAGUCAUACAUUUGCUGUGUCUUUCAUAGUUCUGCAACAAUCUGUGAAAUGGUGGCAAGGCUUUGAUGCUUUCAAUAUCCUUUGCUUUAAGUCUUGUGUACACUGUUGUAUAUGGCUGGAAUUGUGUACUUUGAGUUGGCAUUAUUUGCUUUUAAAAUGCAUUCUGUGAUUGCUUACACAGGAGUUUGGUUGGAAUCACUGAAAACUAGAGUGGUUUAAAAUAUCUUUGCAUAGGCUAUAAGAAGAAUGAGAUUUUGGUUCUUCUAUCUGAAUGACUGGAAUUUCAGGCCAAAACCAUUAUUCAGCUGUUGUUAAAAGCUGUUGACUUUAGCUAAAACAAGUUGGUUCAGCUAUGAAAAAUUUGUGUUCAUCUGGACAAUGAUUAAGAAUAGGAAAGAAUAGAACCUGCCCAUGUAUUUUAUGCCCUAAUUUUAAUGAGGACGUGAUAUUUAUUCCAUCUAAAAAGGUGUUUCUGGCUAAUGACAUGAUUAAAAAUUUGGCUUGACAUUAUCUGAGCUUGUGCAGCAAACAUGACCUUGCAUUUUAUAGGAUUUUAAAUAGGAUUAUUAUGAAGGAGAGAGCAACUAAUUAGAAGAUGGCAGGUUUCCAGUUUCCAUUUGAUGACCUGCAGUUGCUGCUGCUUGUUGCUGUCCCCAGAGUGAGCACAGCAAUACGAUCCUCCGCUUCGGGAUGUACAGAAUGUUCUGUGGUGUUCAAGUCAGGCGCUCUAUGGAAACUUAGCAGGAUCUUGCAUCCUCAGUGCUUUUCAUGCACUUGAGCUGGGGAAAUCUGCCAGAAAGCCAAACCAAACAUUUUUAUGUGUUUCCUCAGGCCCUACCUCCACAUCUUGUUGAAAAAUUAAAGCACACAAUCAUGGGUGUGUCUGUUGAAGCAAGCAGGCACUGUUAUUCCAGGUUUUCAAGGUUGUUUUUCAGGCUAUGGAUUCAGUCAAUUAAGGAAGAGCACGUCUGAAUUCUUUUCAGAGAUUUCUUAUGAAAAACCCUAGUUCAAAAACAUUUUCUGAAUUACUCUCAGUGACUGCAACAAGAAAUCAUGGAAGGUAGAGAUUCUUCUGGAAGCAUAAGUAUGCCAGAAAUUAAGCAGUAUAGUUUUAUUGAUGAAAUGGAGUUUCAGAUUAAAAGAUACAGUAGUACUCUCACUUCCCACUCCCUAUUUCACUCCCACUGUUUGAAUUCAUUAAAUACUCAGAACAAAGUCUUGUCAUAAUUUUUUUGUCAUUAUGGCUAGAUAGAAAUUUAAAUCCUACAAAUAAAGUGUUAGCUGUGGCAGCUUGGAGUUCAGUGCAGCUUAGCCACCUAAAUAUUUGCCCAAAUUUUCAGAUGAAGUUUUCAAUCCACACUUUGCUCUGUUAAGGCUAUAUGUUUAUCAUCAUGGGACAGCUAGUUGCAGCUUGUGCACACAUCCUCAAACAAGCUUUAAAUCAUACUUCUUGGCUGCCAUGUAGACAUGUCUUUAACCUCUGCAUAGCAAUGCCAAACAGUAAGCUAUUUUUUCUGAUGCAAUUUCAUUGCAUUCUUUCUGAAUCCUCAUCUUUGAUCUAGGAAGAACAUCCUGGCUGAAUAGGAAGUUAGUUCAAGCUAUAUAUUUAGUUCAUGUUAUAAAAAUUAAUCUUAAACAUUUCAAGACGUAAAUACCUAAGACCAAUUAAAGGGAUUUAUUUCCAUGCUCUUUUGAGAGAUUAAACAGUAGAUGCCAAUUGUGCCAAAAUGCUUUUCUAGUACAAACUAUCCAGAAGCCAAAAAUUACAGGACAUCUUCAUACAGAGUCAUUGCCAAGUGCAAGCAUUCUAAAUAAAGCUGUAGCAUGAUUGGGUUGCAUGCACCUUUUAAUCUGAGGACACAUUUGCAGAAUUUCCUGGCUAAAAGCCCUGAGCUACAUAGUUCUGCAUGGAACGAAUGUCUGAAAUUGCUGGGAUUUGGAAUCCUAUUACUUUUGGGGUGAGACAGACAGAGGGGUGGAUUUUAUUUCUUUUGUACCAAAGCCCCUCUUGAACCUAAAUACUACACAGUUCUGAAAUGUUUAUGAUAAAUUAUAAUAAAUUAGUCUUUGCACUCUUGUAUACUGUGACUUACUGAUUUUGACUUGCUCUGAGUCAUGGAUAUCCCUAAAGGAUCAAAACUGCAAUUCGCUUGCAUGCUAUUAAAUCAAGAAGGGUCUCAUAAUUACAUAUAAAUACAUAUAAAAACAUAAAAAUUUGAACUGGAGGCAGUGAGAGAGCGGAAUAAAAUUGUUUGGUUUUAUUUCUGCAUGAGUAGGAGGAGAGAUGGUCCAAACUUGGUUUACAAGGCAGUCUCCCUAAAAUAUGCUUUAUACUAUGGGCUGAGCUCUGCCCAUAUGAAUACUUUAGAACCCUCAGUUUGCAACUACCUAGAGGCUCCUGGAACUAUUAAAGUCUCAUUUUGUUCCUUCAAAGUGGAAAAAGGAGCCUGGCCCAAAUUAAGCAAGGAGUGCUGCUCCCAAGACAUACCAAGCUUUAUGGGACUUCAAGCAUAGUAUUUCAAACUCUUAAUUCAGAAGUAUAGGGGAAAGCAAUUGCCACUAUAUUAUGCCUCUUUUUCUAAACAAUUCAGUAUGUUUUCUUUUUGCAUAAAUGUGAUGCAGCUGGUUCUAGUACCAUAUUUACAGUAAAUAUCCUUUUUGGUAGACUAAGGGCUUAUUGAGGCAGUGCAGUAAUAAUGUGUUAAAGGAUUUAAUCCGCUUUUUGAACAGUUACUAAGCAUAUUUUUUUUUUAAUGAAUGAUCUGAGCAUGUUGGACAAAACUUAGAUCAGAAGAUCAGAAAUAAGCCAAUGUUUACGUUUUUGAUUCACUGCAUAUGAAGGAAUUGUGGGUUUUGAAGGAAUCCUGACUUUGCUUGAAUUUAGUGAAGUAAGAUCUAAAGGGUCUUCUGUGAUGAAUUGCUUAGGAGUUCAAAUGAAAAUAUGGAACUUUCAGACAGAACCUAUUGCUUAAAUUUAAUGAAUUAAUUAGACACAGAAAAAUGUUAAAAUGAAUGGAACGAGAAAGUUUCUUCCCUGCUUUAACAAUGUUAAGAAAAUGGACUUGUGUUAUGGUUUGUAUCAUUGAUGCAAUCUGUUUUAAACAUCAUUGUAUCCUGGUUGAUCUUUUUGUAUUAAACAAUAUUCUUCAGUAGA